UACGUAGGGUGCAAGCGUUGUCCGGAAUUAUUGGGCGUAAAGAGCUCGUAGGCGGUCUGUCGCGUCGGCUGUGAAAACCCGGGGCUCAACCCCGGGCCUGCAGUGGGUACGGGCAGACUAGAGUGCGGUAGGGGAGACUGGAAUUCCUGGUGUAGCGGUGAAAUGCGCAGAUAUCAGGAGGAACACCGGUGGCGAAGGCGGGUCUCUGGGCCGUAACUGACGCUGAGGAGCGAAAGCGUGGGGAGCGAACAGG
rnacentral:rRNA from 1 species